rnacentral:rRNA from 1 species
CACGGGGGGAGCAAGCGUUGUUCGGAAUCACUGGGCGUAAAGGGCGUGUAGGCGGUCAGGUAAGUGGAAUGUGAAAUCCCUCGGCUUAACCGGGGAACUGCGUCUGAUACUGGAUGGCUUGAGUUUGGGAGAGGGAUGCGGAAUUCCAGGUGUAGCGGUGAAAUGCGUAGAUAUCUGGAGGAACACCGGUGGCGAAAGCGACUUCCUGGACCAAUACUGACGCUCAUGUGCGAAAGCGUGGGGAGCAAACAGG